CAGUCGAGCGGACCUGACSGGAGCUUGCUCCCUUAGGUCAGCGGCGGACGGGUGAGUAACACGUGGGUAACCUGCCUGUAAGACUGGGAUAACUCCGGGAAACCGGGGCUAAUACCGGAUGCUUGAUUGAACCGCAUGGUUCAAUCAUAAAAGGUGGCUUUUAGCUACCACUUACAGAUGGACCCGCGGCGCAUUAGCUAGUUGGUGAGGUAACGGCUCACCAAGGCGACGAUGCGUAGCCGACCUGAGAGGGUGAUCGGCCACACUGGGACUGAGACACGGCCCAGACUCCUACGGGAGGCAGCAGUAGGGAAUCUUCCGCAAUGGACGAAAGUCUGACGGAGCAACGCCGCGUGAGUGAUGAAGGUUUUCGGAUCGUAAAACUCUGUUGUUAGGGAAGAACAAGUACCGUUCGAAUAGGGCGGCACCUUGACGGUACCUAACCAGAAAGCCACGGCUAACUACGUGCCAGCAGCCGCGGUAAUACGUAGGUGGCAAGCGUUGUCCGGAAUUAUUGGGCGUAAAGCGCGCGCAGGCGGUUUCUUAAGUCUGAUGUGAAAG
rnacentral:rRNA from 1 species